UACGUAGGUGGCAAGCGUUGUCCGGAUUUACUGGGCGUAAAGAGCGCACAGGCGGUCGGAUAAGUCGAAUGUGAAAGCCCCCGGCUCAACUGGGGAGGGUCAUUCGAUACUGUUCGACUCGAAGGCAGGAGAGGGAAGUGGAAUUCCCGGUGUAGUGGUGAAAUGCGUAGAUAUCGGGAGGAACACCAGUGGCGAAGGCGACUUCCUGGCCUGUUCUUGACGCUGAGGCGCGAAAGCUAGGGGAGCAAACGGG
rnacentral:rRNA from 1 species